AUACUUACCUGGCAGGGGAGACACCAUGCUCAGGCAGGUGGUUUUCCCAGGGCGAGGCUCAUCCCUUGUACUUCGGGUGUGCUGACCCCUGCGAUUUCCCCAAAUGCAGGAAACUCGACUGCAUAAUUUGUGGUAUAUUUUUUUAUU
rfam:Pelecanus crispus contig57401, whole genome shotgun sequence.